GGGCUCACACAAGCGGUGGAGCAUGUGGCUCAAUUCGAGGCUACGCGAAGAACCUUAUCCCGGGCUUGACAUGUCCGAAAGGGGCAGGAAGUAGGGAGCGGAAACGCCACCCGAACGGUAUCCAAUCCGGAACUUGCCACAGGUGCUGCAUGGCUGUCGUCAGCUCGUGUCGUGAGAUGUCGGGUUAAGUCCCAUAACGAGCGAAACCCUUGUUUCCAGUUGCCAGCGAGUAAAGUCGGGGACUCUGGAAAGACUGCCGGUGUUAAACCGGAGGAAGGUGGGGAUGACGUCAAGUCCUCAUGGCCUUUAUGCCCGGGGCUGCACACGUGCUACAAUGGCGUGAACAAAGGGACGCAAACUCGCGAGAGGGAGCAAAUCCCAAAAAACACGCCCCAGUUCAGAUUGCAGGCUGCAACUCGCCUGCAUGAAGUUGGAAUCGCUAGUAAUCGCGGGUCAGCAACACCGCGGUGAAUGUGUUCCUGAGCCUU
rnacentral:rRNA from 1 species